UUUAAAGAGUGCGUAAUAGCUCACUAGUCGAGUGACCCUGCGCCGAAAAUGUACCGGGGCUAAACAUAUUACCGAAGCUGUGGAGUACACCUUUAGGUGUAUUGGUAGGAGAGCGUUCUAAGGGCGUUGAAGGCAGAUCGUGAGGACUGCUGGAGCGCUUAGAAGUGAGAAUGCCGGUAUGAGUAGCGAAAGACAGGUGAGAAUCCUGUCCACCGAAUGACUAAGGUUUCCUGGGGAAGGCUCGUCCGCCCAGGG
rnacentral:rRNA from 1 species